ensembl:lncRNA novel transcript
GAAAGACGAAAGAAGGAACUGUUACAUUUUGCAUGCAAAGAAAGCCAGAGUGGCUAGAUUACUCCCUUAGGGUAAUGGAGAAAGGAAAAAGAAAUUGAAAAAGGUCAGGUGAACAAAGCAGAAGGAAUGAAGAGGUUUGUGUGAUUCUUAGUGAAAUUGGACCAGUCUAAGCAACCAGACAGGCUUUACAACGAAUGUAAAAGACAAGUCUCAGGAAAAGAUGUAAUUUUAUGGAAGAAAAAAGAUAGAAAAUAACAUUACCCAAAUGAAAACAGAUGAAGAUAAAGAUCAUUUCUUGAACAAUAUCUUCACAUCAUGGCUGGGCAAAGUGGAAAGAGACAGAAAACUGAAAAGUGACAACUUAAAAACUUUCUUUAAACAUAUCACUCUGACACCAAUGUGUAAGAUGAAGUGGACAGGAAUGGAACUGUACUGGGAGGCUCUGACAGUUCGGGUGAGAAGAAAUGAAGGGUCCUGUAAGCAGAUGAGCAGAUGAACAGAAGAGCAGAAGAGCAGCACAGCCGAGAAGGAAUGAAUGGCACAGCAGAGAAGGAGAGAAGAGAAGGAGCAUCUGAACGUUGAGAGUUCAACUAGAAAUGGUCAGAGAGGAGACUGAUCAUGGGAUAGCCAAACUCCAGGAGAAGAUUAUGUUCCCACUCCAUCCCCUUUCCAGAUCCCCAAUCCAUCCCUCUGAGAGCCACCUCUACCACUCGAUAAAACCCCUGCAUUUACCAUC